AGCAGCUUACCCGGAUAGUAAACUAUAGUUUUCGAGUCGUUUAGUCAGCCAGGUAAAUAAGUCCUCUGGAAAGGGGCGACAUAGAGGGUGAAAUCCCCGUCUUUGGCCUGAGUUUUGAUUAGGCGUUUGGCUUGGAAACGAAGAGUCAGGUUGUUUGGGAAUGCAGCCUAAAAUGGGAGGUAAAUCUCUCCUAAAGCUAAAUAUUGACGAAAGACCGAUAGCGAACAAGUACCGUGAGGGAAAGAUGAAAAGCACUUUGAAAAGAGGGUCAAAAAGUACGUGAAAUUGCUGAAAGGGAACCGUAUGAAAUCAGAUCUACUGGUAGGUAAUCAAUCUUUCCUUUGGGAAGGAUGCACUUGCCUACUAUGUAUGCCAGCGACAUUUUGGUUGGGAGGAAAAAAAUAAAGGAAAUGUAGCUUAGGUUUCGGCUUAGGUGUUAUAGUCCUUUAUAAAAUACUCUCGGCUGGAAUGAGGAACGCAGCAAACCGUAAGGCGAAGAUUUCAGGCGCUUAGAGGGAAUAAUUAGAGAAUUUCUGCUUCGGGUGGUGCUUUGAUUAUUACCUUUAACACGCUUGGAGUUCUUUUAAUUUGCUUAGGUUGUUGGCUUAAUGAUUUUAUAUGACCCGUCUUGAAACACGGACCAAGGAGUCCACCAUAGGCGCGAGUCUUUGGGUGUAAAAACCCAUGGGCGGAAGGAAAUUGACUAAGAUACCAAGGCGCAAGCUGGCAGUAUCCCCCGGCGUAGACGUUUUUAUACUGAAAUGACUGAGGGCAAGCGCUUAUGAUGGGACCCGAAAGAUGGUGAACUAUACUUGAAUAGGGUAAAGCCAGAGGAAACUCUGGUGGAAGCUCGCAGCGAUUCUGACGUGCAAAUCGAUCGUCAAAUUUGAGUAUAGGGGCGAAAGACUAA
rnacentral:rRNA from 1 species